UGAGGGUUUCCGGAAAAAAAUGCCUCAGUGGCUUAAAGCGUUGGCUUAGCCUCUACAUUCAAAGUCAAAACUGUUUUUCUUAUUCCGGCUAGAAACACCUGCCGAGCCCACAAAGGUUCCUACCCUAUAUAGGCUGACCCGCCCAUCAAUCAGAUGCUGCCAUACAUCAUAAAUCGCCUCUUACUCUUAGUGUGUCUGUGUGUACAUCUAAAUAUUAGUUUGUCUCUGAGUACGUGUGUGUGUGUUGUGCGCUUAUCUGAGUCAUGCGUAGAUCUGGAGCUGCUCCUGAGGGGGCGACUCUCAGCACGUCCUGAUGACGUCCUGAUGGCGUGAUGUCCUCAUAGCGUCCUUAUGGAGUCCUGAUGGAGUCCUGAUGGCGUGACGUCCUGAUGGCGUCCUUAUGGCGUCCUGAUGGCAUCCUGAUGACGUCUUGAUGGCGUCCUGAUGACGUCUUGAUGGCGUCCUGAUGGCGUCCUGUUGGUCUGCAGAGACAAGGAGAAGAGACGUGAGGAGGAUCAUCAGGAUGUGAGACAACAUUCAUAGAUCCAAUUAUUUUAAUUUGAUACUUUUGUUUAAUUAUUUAAUGUUUGUAUGUGUGUGUAAGUGUACAUUAUAUAUUUGUGGUUGUUAAGGUGUAUUUCUGUGUAUGCUUUUUAUUACUUUUAUAUGUGUGUGUCUCUGUGUAAGUACCGUUAUAUGUGUGUGUGUCUUUGUGUAAGUACUUUUAUACGUUAGUGUCUCUGUGUAAGUACUUUUAUGUGUGUGUGUGUAUCUCUGUGUAAGUACUUUUAUAUGUGUGUGUGUGUCUCUGUGUAAGUACUUUUAUAUGUGUGUGUCUCUGUGUAAGUACUUUUAUAUGUGUGUGUGUGUGUGUGUCUCUGUGUAAUACCUUUUAUAUGUGAGAGUCUCUGUGUAAGUACUUUUAUAUGUGAGUGUCUCUGUGUAAGUACUUUUAUAUGUGUGUCUCUGUGGAAGUACCUUUAUACGUUAGUGUCUCUGUGUAAGUACUUUUAUAUGUGAGUGUCUCUGGGUAAAUACUUUUAUACGCUAGUGUCCCUGUGUACAUGUACAUGAUAACAGCAGGAAUCAGAGGUUUAUCUCGACGUACUAACUCCACGUCACAGCUUCCGUUACCCGAUAGUACAAACACGUGAUUUACAGCAGUACGGCUGCAGUCUGUCUGGAUUCCUCACUUACCUCGAGCUCUGUUGAGUGCAGCAAAACGCGUCUUCAUCUCCUCUUCAGACUCCUGAGGCGUCACGAUUGCUUUCUGCAGAUUUCUGUCCGGAAAACUUCAGUGUGUGUAGAUGUGAGGUUUGAAACUAACUGACUGAAUGUGCCUCAGACUGUGUUUCUAAUGCUGUGGUGAAUGGAGCAUAGAACAUAGAACAUGGAGCAUAGAACACGGAACACGGAACAUGGAACAUGGAGCACGGAACAUGGAACAUGGAACAUGGAUCAUGGAACAUGGAGAAAUCCUGAUGUCACCUGUCUAUGUUUACAGUGAAGGUAUCUAGAAUAUAGAAAUGAGCCUUUAAAGUAAACGUGUAUGUAGACGGUGUAUUUGUAUUGAUGGAGCUCAUCCACUUCACAUGGUGCAUAAAACACUUUGCUAUACCGUUUCUUUUUCUAUGACCCGUUCAUCUUGAUCAUGAAAGCAAAGGCUUUAAAGAAUCAAUAAAGAACGAUAUUUGAUUUUUGUCCCAAUGGAAAGCACAAAAUUUGGCUCAGGCCUCCAUUUUCUUUCAUUAACAUUACAUGAUUUGGAUGGAUUUUGUGUGUACAAAGAUUUUAAUAUGUUGGAUAUAGAAUAGUCCACCUGAAUUGGUUACAUUUGGUUCUAUUAGCUAAUUUAAGUGACUAAGUAUUUAACAUGAACUGACUGACCCGAGCCAGCUUUCGUCAUGCUAAUGUUAGCGAGAAUUAAUGAACAUUUAUUGAUUAAUUUACGUUUUGUGAAACAAUUGUUUGAAUCCAACAAUGUGUUAAACUUCUAAGAGCAAAAAUAGCCUUGAGAUAUCUUUACUGGCAAGUAUGUCAACGUUAGCUUACAUUUCUGUAAUGUUGGUGUCCAGUUAGCAUGUCUAACGUUAGCAUACCGAAGAUUUUGGCGGGCGGGACUGCCAUGGUUAAAUGUUCUAAUAUCAGUGGUGUAACGUUAGCUGCUUAUUAGAAAUUUUGCGCAUGCUUACAUUAGCUACAAGGUUUGCCCGGUCGUACUUUCUGGAUUACACCACAACCUCAAGGUAAUGUGGUUUAUGUUAACGUUACAUAAAAUUGGGUCUUAGCUGCCUCAGAAAGGCCGCAUUUACUGGCGGCACAUUUUCCUUUGUAAAUACCUGCCCUCUCGUACAGCGCGGAGGCACAUUAGCGCAACUACACUGAGCCGGGUGAGGCUACAUUAGCUUGUUACCAAGCUAAUUACACGACUUGCACCCAGGUCUCUGUUAAGACUAACGUUACAUCAGCCGGUGUGUGCGUGUUUGACGCGGUAGUUCAUACAUUUGUCAGCAGUGCGGGGUCCGAUUGUUGGACUAAAUUAUGUCGGGGGUGGUGUUAAAUGCUAAAAAAAAAAGAGACUGUAACAUGUGUGUUCAAAAAUUGUGAAUAUAAAACCAACAUCUAUGAGAACUUCAAAAGCCAUAAAUAUAGAAAAGACUCUGGUGCAGGGAAUAUCUUUAAGCUUAAGGGGAAUUUUUCUCACAUGUUGAACUUUACUAACUUGUGAUCUCUUCUCAGAUUGCCAUGGCUGGUUCGACACCUGCAAGACUCAAGGUGAUUUUGGGAGAGAGCAACAUAGAGAAACUGACGCUUCCAAAUGGCCUACCAGAAUCGCUAGAUGAUCUUCACAGCAAGAUCAAGACUACCUUUGGGUUAAAGGGCAACCUACGACUCCAAUACAUGGACCAAGACUUUGGCAAUGACUUCUUCAAUCUCAAUUCUACAACUGACUUUCAGGAUUUGGGAACAAUUAAUGUGAUCCAGGAUACAAAUCCACCUUUGAUCAGUGCCACUGAGACCACAUCCUGUAGUUCUCCUUCAAUUGAGUCUGACGGUGUUUCCCAUUCAUCAAAUGACACAAUAAUGCUCUCAUCCCCAGAGUCUGUGUCAUCUCGAACCAAACAGUGGCCACAGGAGUUUCCAAUUCCAAAAUGUUCAUACGACACAGAGCGGCAGCUGGCAAAGGGGAAUGCUGAAUGACAUGGGAGAAACCAGAUGUUGACAGUCAACUCCCGAAUGAAAUCUGAUAUCCUGAAUGUCUAUGGGUGUGCCGCUCAAACUUCUUCUUCGCGCCUCUUUUUUUUCAGGCUACAUACUACUUUAGCGCAUCUCUGCCUCUCAGGUUUGAGAAGGAACUGCAACUCUAAACAAGAGUGCAGUUUACAUUUAGUGCCGUGGCCCGCCUCUGACCGGGCAUAUAGCCAAUCAUAUUUUAAGAUAUUGGGGUGGCACUUGGGGUGGCCAAUCAGAUUUCAGGGGUGGCCCGUGCCACCGUAGGCCACUCCCUGAACACGCCAGUGCCUCCUCCGCUUCGUGCUGUGCUGAAAAAUUUACCACAACAUAAGCGCCGCUGAAAACAUUACGUUGCAACCGGUCCGCCGUAUCCUAAAGAAUAAACAAAUGAAAAAGUAACCAAAUCCGUGAUUUCAAAGCCUUUUGUCCAGCUGUCAUGUUUAAUGAAGAGAGAGAUGCAGACACACAGGCAGAAAAUGUAAUGACAGUUUUACAAAUUAGACACGGUCACUAGUUUUGUUUAAUAUUGAGUUUUAAGUUGAGUUACAUGACAGUCUGGUGAGGGAUGUUGUGGUAUACCAUUAGUGUAAUGCUGCUUAUGCUAAAACAGUACAAAAAAUGUGUGUGUGUGUGUUGUCAGCUUUUGAUUAUUAUGCACAACAUCGUUUCUCAUAUGCAAAAUUUGCAGCACCACCCGCAGACUUCUGUGUAAUUCCACAGGCUUCUUGUAAUUUGCGACUUUGGGCUAUACAAAAUAAAUAAAUUGGAUUGAAUUAAAUGCUAAGAAAAGAGAGAUUUCAAAAGCAGAAGGACAAACAAAAUAUCCUACUGUGUUUUUUUAUUUGUUUACUUUAUUAGUAUUUUUACUUAAUUUUGGCGAUGGGUGCCCUUUUGUUUUAGUUUGAGCACCUGCCUCCCAAAAUGUCUGUGCACGUGCCCGGUGUCCUCUAGGGCAACAAAGUAUGACACAAGUCCAACAAGUCGAGGGAAACACGGUCCGAAGUGUGGUGUCGUCGAUCAGGAGUUUCAUGUUUGGUGUUCAGGGAGUCGGACACAAACAGAUUUCUGGUGUUUGGGUGGUCGGUGCCAUUUUGCCUGCAUCUUCUGUUUCCAUGGUGAGAGUCUGGAAGACAUGAAGCAACAGCUCCGUUACUUUGCCUUAAUGCCCUCGUAUUUCAACAAAUAUAUCGGAUUCAUCUUCUUGAUAAAAUGUCUGCAGAUGGAAUAUUAUAUUAUUGAAGACCUUUUGUUAAUGUUCCCAGUUUAACAAACAUCAUCAUUCAUUGAUUUCAACAAUGAUCAUCAUCGGAUUUUUAGGGGCUACAGAUCUUCCAAAGCAGCAUGUAAGUGAUUGGAUAUUUAUUUAUAUCAAAGUGUUAACAUUAGAGACUUCUUGAUCACUAACCCCCUGAUGCAGUCGUUGUUUAAAACAAUCCAGAGCUUUGUUUCAUGGUCUUCAAGGUGGGUAAGACUGAGGCAAUGGCUAAAGAUGCAUUUCCUUUUUUCAGAGUGUUAUAUCUUUUUUUGUGUUUUUCUUCUUAAGUAAAAAAUAUGUAUUACUGUGGACAGGUGUUGUGAAUUGCGUUUUCUUGUGCAUAAUUGUAUGUUAUAAUUCUAAUGCUGCUGUGAUGUCCAUAUGGCCACCAUUCAUUGUCACCUUUUAAAUGCAUUCGUUUAGUAAAUGGGAGGAAAUUAAUGGUUUUGAAUUAAUGGGGUGAUGUUUUCAAAAUGUAUCUCGGUGUCUUCGAGGAUUAUCGCACUUUUCCAGUUUGUUCUUUCUCUCCUUUACGCACCGACUGCGACACUUAAAACCCGAACGAAAACUAGGCGGUCAGAAUAUUUAACCUUUAAAAUAACCUCUGGUCAUGCAUUUUGAAAGCAUGGCAGAUGUUAGUUUGAUAUAUUGUGUCAAGUUUAAAGUAAAUAUUGAACACUACAAUUGAGAGCGCUCAAGAGGUUUCCUCUUUUCAUUUUCAAACGUCCGAGUUUAUCUCGAUUACGUUUUUGCAGAGAACGGGCCAAAUGUAGCACAUCCUUUCAUUUAAAUCAAAUUAUUCUCUGCGGGCACAAGGCUCGUAAAUCGCCUUAAUUAUGUCCCAACCUAUAGCGAAUUAGCCUUAACUACCUCUGCCUACAUGGUGUUUUUGUACAGAACCCCCACUUGCAGGCAAUAAGAAUACGAUUUGUUGCUUCCCGACACGAGAAACAAACACGCGCCCACGAGACCUUCAUCUCUGCGCAAGCUAAGGGGAUCAACGUGCACGGAAACAUCAAACGCGCGCUCCUGUACAGCCGCGCAAUUAGGAAUAUUGUUGCAAACCUCUGCUGACGUUACGCCGACGUGUACACAACGCGUUCCCGUGUUUGUUUCUGCUCUGUUGGGUGGAUGCAGCGGGGUUAACGUACACACGUUUUGUCGUCUGGUUCUGCACUUUUUAUGAAAGUGCACAGAUUACAACGCGUGGCUUUUAACACAAAACAAAUUAGCAGCCUGGUCUUCUAAGGAGGCGUUUUUCUGGAAGUAGUUUUGUUUACAUGCCGCUGUAUUUUCGUCACCAAAAAUCGGCUGAGGUUCUCACUUUAGUCGGUGUCUUAUUCACCGCCGCUUCCGCCCCCACCUGCCCACCCGGCUCAGCUCCCAUGCUGGCCACUGUGCGUCAAGGAUAAUGUUUACCGGGGGGAAACGUGCUGGACUCGUUUCCCGUGAGGUUCCUCUGGUUGCUGAAAUAACAAAAGGUCAUUGGUGAAAGAUCAAAAGGUCUCAGCAAACUGCUCCAUCUUCAACAAUUUCUUUCUUUUGACCAAACGGACACCUGAGCUAUUAUAGAUGAGUCCACAUGAGGACGCUGCAGCCACACAGCCGACUUCCACACGUCUCCUACCUUGAUUUGAAUGCAUGAUAGACAUUCUGUGAAUAAUAUAAUAUUCUUACAUGGGAGUUUGUUCUUUUUCUGCAAAACUAUAUAUAUCUCCUCAAAAAAGUACAAUUUCCGAUUCUAUUCCGAAAAUAUAAAACGUAUGCAGUUUUAUGUAAUGAAACUGUUGGGAGACAUUUUAGAUUCAAAUUGAACGCACCGCACUGAGAAAAGGAAGAUGUAAAGUGUAAACAGGGUCAAUAUGACCCCCAAAAGCUCAAUAUUUAUAUCUGGAUAAUGAUAAUAGUUUUAAUUUUUCUAAAUAAUAAAUAUCUUGGGGCUUUUAUUUUGUUAUUUGUUUACAGAAUAUUUCUUAUUCUAUUUAUCAAUGUAUUCCACAAACAGAUAUAUACUGGUUUACCUUGUACACUGUAAAAUGUAAUAGUUGUCCUGACUUACAUUUAAUUAGUCAACUUUACUCAGCUGUCAAAAAUAUCCUUUCUUACUCACUUUUACGAAGUAACAGUUUAUUGAAAGUGGAAAAAAGCCAUACCGAUUGGUUCAAGUAAAGUUAACGUACAACACUUUGCCAAAAUUUGGCAAUGGUCCGAACAACAACGCAGAACCCAACAUCCGGUCCAUGUGAGGUGGAUCGCUGCCUCAGAAACGGAAGCAAGAAAGACACUGCAUGGAUUUUGAUCCACUGGCAUUGGGUGAUGAUGCCUGGGCACAAGUCAUCGGUGAAGAUGUACUGCGCUCUCCAAAUCGACUCCACCUUGACGCAGCGUCUACUGCAAUCAUUGUUAUGGAUGAUCUCCUAAACCUACCUCAAGCACUUUGCCUCUUGUUUGGGCUAUCAUAUGCCGUACACUUGGACUGCCCUAAAGCCAUGAAAAACACGUUUAACUUCAUUCAAAAAGCGAUGGUUGGCUGGGGGACUUACACCAAAACUUCAAACCCGUAAAAUUCUCCUGUUGAGUUAAAAUAUAAAUGGCCGCAUGAGUGACGUUCGGCAUUGGAUCUCACUUGUUGAUCACAAAAGUAUAGUUUCAGUUUUUUUUUGUUAUGUUGGCGAAAUUAAGGGACUCAAAAUUUCAUCAGUAGGUCUGUCUAGACCUGCCGGUGUAUGUUUGAAAUACAAGUGUGAGAUCGAUUGCCUGCCAUUUAUCUUUUCACGGCUAUUGGUUUUGCUAUUGGUGUUAAUGUAGGAAAAAAUACAUUGUUCACAAUAUCCCUGUGGAAGUGAGCAUUUGGUGUUUAGGAUUGUUAUUGUAAAACUUACAGG
ensembl:lncRNA